rnacentral:rRNA from 1 species
UGGGGGAUAUUGCACAAUGGGCGAAAGCCUGAUGCAGCGACGCCGCGUGGGGGAUGAAGGCUUUCGGGUUGUAAACCUCUUUCGCUAUCGAACAAGGCCCGCUUAGGGUGGGUUGAGGGUAGGUGGAGAAGAAGCGCCGGCUAACUACGUGCCAGCAGCCGCGGUAAUACGUAGGGCGCGAGCGUUGUCCGGAAUUAUUGGGCGUAAAGGGCUUGUAGGCGGCUUGUUGCGCCUGCUGUGAAAACGCGGGGCUUAACUUCGCGCGUGCAGUGGGUACGGGCAGGCUUGAGUGUGGUAGGGGUGACUGGAAUUCCAGGUGUAGCGGUGGAAUGCGCAGAUAUCUGAGGAACACCGAUGGCGAAGGCAGGUCACUGGGCCAUUACUGACGCUGAGGAGCGAAAGCAUGGGUAGCGAACAGG